AGUACGUGCUACAGCAACAUAUACUGUAUACUAAGAUUGAAAUGAUGCAGAGAUUAGCAUGUCUCCUGUAUAAGGAUGACAAACAAAUUGCUGAAGCAUUCCAUAUUUUA
ensembl:snRNA U6 U6 spliceosomal RNA